rnacentral:rRNA from 1 species
AUACGGAAGGUCCGGGCGUUAUCCGGAUUUAUUGGGUUUAAAGGGAGCGCAGGCGGAGAUGCAAGCGUGACGUCAAAUUUCGGGGCUCAACCCCGUCUCGCGUCGCGAACUGCGUCCCUUGGUUGCGGGAAGGGGAGGCGGAACUCGUGGUGUAGCGGUGAAAUGCAUAGAUAUCACGAAGAACUCCGAUCGCGAAGGCAGCCUUCCGGACCGUCAACGACGCUCAUGCUCGAAGGUGCGGGUAUCAAACAGGAUUAGAUACCCUGGUAGUCCGCACAGUAAACGAUGGACACCCGCGGUUUGGCCUGUAUGGCUGAGCCGCCAAGCGAAAGCGUUAAGUGUCCCACCUGGGGAGUACGCCGGCAACGGUGAAACUCAAAGGAAUUGACGGGG